rnacentral:lncRNA from 1 species
GGGAGUUGUACCGUUUAGAGGUUGGCUUAUGCCGAAUUUGGUCUUUAGGCUUUGUGGGAAUCGAUUUUGGGGUUGUUUUUUCUCUGUCUGCUUUGAUUUGGUCAGUUUUUCUUUCACUUUUUGCUUGUACUGAAUAUUGCUAAAGACUGUGGGUAGCUUUCGGGUUUGCUCAUUUGGUUUCUUGUUUCUCUUUUUAUUCUUUUUGUUUUGUCUUCUUGUUUUUACUUUGACGGAAUAGUUCGUUAGUCCCCUCUUC